rnacentral:rRNA from 1 species
UCAAAAACAUGUCCUUUUGUUAAUAAUUUAAGGUCUGACCUGCCCAAUGAGUAUUUGAAUGGCCGCAGUAUUUUGACUGUGCAAAGGUAGCAUAAUCAUUAGUUUUUUAAUUGUAAGCUGGAAUGAAUGGUUUGAUGAGAAAAUAACUGUCUCAAUUUAAUUGUUUUAGAAUUUUAAUUUUAAGUGAAAAGGCUUAAAUUUCUAAGGAAGACGAGAAGACCCUAUAGAGUUUAAUAAUUUUAUAUUAUGGUUGGUUUUAGAUUUAUUUAAGAUUUUAAUAUAUAAUUAUUUUGUUGGGGUGAUAUUAAAAUUUAAUAAACUUUUAAUUUGUUAUAACAUUUUUUUAUGAUUAAUUGAUCCUAAUUUUUAGAUUAUAAGAUAAAAUUACCUUAGGGAUAACAGCGUAAUUUUUUUUAAGAGUUCUUAUCGAAAAAAAAGUUUGCGACCUCGAUGU